GGACGCGAAAACGUCGUACGAAUGCACGCAAGUGUGAUAGGGCAACCCCGUCGGUGCUCAACUAACGUUGGGCUUUUAUUAUGUGUAAUGUGCAUAAUGAAUAAGUGGUGGGCAAGACCGGUGCCAGCAGCCGCGGUAAUACCGGCGCCACGAGUGGAGUUCACUAUUAUUGGGUCUAAAGUGUCCGUAGCUGGUUUAUUAAGUCUCUUGUGAAAUUUCUGUUGCUUAACUCAGAAACUGCAAGAGAUACUGGUAAACUCGAGACCGGAAGAGGUUAACAAGUAUUGUUUGGGUAGCGGUAAAAAUGCUAUAAUCCUUACAAGACUAACUAAGGCGAAGGCAUGUUACUUGGACGGAUCUGACAGUGAGGGA
rnacentral:rRNA from 2 species